CCCGAUAGCUCAGCGGUAGAGUAGGUGACUGUUAAUCACUUGGCCGUAGGUUCGAAUCCUACUCGGGACCA
rnacentral:tRNA from 1 species